UCUCUUGAUGGGGAUUUAGGCUACAGCACUGGGAAAAUAAUCAUGGGACUGGAUUUCAGGGCCCUGGCCACCUCAGCUCUUCAGGAAUGAAAAGCAUAAUGUUUUCCAUGGUGAUGCUGUGUCUCUACCUCCUCCCUCUGAACCUUGUGAGAGCCACGAACUAGGCUGGACUUUGGUGUCUGCCCUUCAGAUGAUUGGUGCCAUAAGAGGGCCACAAGCGGCACUAUUUCCAAGACAUGGAAACAACCUAAAUGUUCAUUGACAGAUGAGUGGAUGAAGAAGAUGUGGUACAUAUACACAAUGGAAUACUACUCAGCCAUAAAAAAGAACAAAAUAAGGCCAUUUGUAGCAACAUAGAUGGAACUGGAGAGUCUUAUACCAAAUGAAGCUUUUUAAUGUCAGCUCCAAAACUCGAAGCGUACAUAUCAGGAGCUUGGAAGAAAAGCCUGGAGAAAGAGUGGAGCACUCUUUUUAAUACCUGAUGCAGAUUACAUCUUCUGAUGCCCCCCAAGGUGCUAUUACAGAGGACAACAUGGACAUCAACACCUCUGAUUCAGAAAAAUUGAUCUCUGAAUGCUAUUAUGAAUAAUUGUGCCAUGUACAUGGGUGUUUGGAUAUCUUUGAGACCACACUUUCAGUUCUUUUGGGUAUAUGCCCAGAAGUAGAAUUGUUGGAUCAUAUGGCCAUUAAAAUAAAAACUAUUCAAGAAGUCAGCUGCUGCUAUAAAGGUCAUCUGGAAAGUCCAGGGAAGGACCCUGAGCUGCUGCUGGGAAAGAGAAAUUGUCCUCUGGCUCGUGAGCUGUCAUGUUUGUCUGCUGAGUGGCUUCAGUGGUUUCAUCUGUUGCUGAAAGAGCCAAGAGAGAGGGAUAAAACGGGACUAUAAUCCAUACCACAAUGAGCGGGACGGGACCAGCAGCCCAGAAGAAGCAAAAGGAAUCUUAAUGAAUUGGAGACAAUUGGAGAUGGUUUAUAAGGAUGAAGUUCAAAGGUUUUUCUUUAGAAGCCAUUGAGUUGGUAGUCUAGGAGAGCACCUUGUAGUGGUAUUUGCAUAAGGAGAAAGAUGUCAAAUAUUCAAAGAUGCCUUUACUCAAAGAGCCAGUGGCACUUAAGUGGCCAAAUAGCUUACAAGCACUUAUUAAGAUGAAUGGAUAAAGAAGAUGUGGUAUAGAUACACAAUAGAAUAUUACUCAGCCAUUAAAAGGGAAUAAACUAUUGCCAUCUGCAACAACAUGGAUCGAACCGGAGGGUAUUAUGAUAAGUGAAGUAAGUCAAAGACAAAUAUUGUAUGUUUUCACCUAUAUGUGUAAUCAAGAAAAAUAAAUGAACAAAUAUAGCAAAACAGAAAUAGACUCAUAGAUAGAACAUACUAGUGGUUUUCAAUAUUAAAAAAAUAUUGAAUCACUAUAUUGUAUAUGUGAAACUAAUAUGAUAUUGUAAGUUAAAUAGACUUCAAUUUUUAAAAAAAGUAAUUUUAAAAAACAAUAGAGGAGUUUCCACUGUGUGACUUCCAUGGCUCUGGUCACUGUGGAGGUGCAGGUUUGAUCCCCAGCCCAGUGCAGUGGGUUAAAGGAUUUGGCAUUGCCACUGCUGCAACUCGGAUUUAGUCCUUGGCCCAGGAACUUCCAUAGGCCGUGGGUGCAGCCAUUGGAAAAAAAAAAAA
rnacentral:lncRNA from 1 species